rnacentral:misc_RNA from 1 species
GAUGAAGAACGUAGCGAAAUGCGAUAAGUAAUGUGAAUUGCAGAAUUCAGUGAAUCAUCGAAUCUUUGAACGCACAUUGCGCCCGCCAGUAUUCUGGCGGGCAUGCCUGUUCGAGCGUCAUUUCAACCAUCAAGCCCUGCUUGCGUUGGAGUCCUGCGGCUGCCCGCAGGCCCUGAAAACCAGUGGCGGGCUCGCUAGUCACACCGAGCGCAGUAAUACAUCUCGCUUUGGGCGUGCGGCGGGUUCUUGCCGUUAAACACCCCCUUUUUACCAAGGUUGACCUCGGAUCAGGUAGGAAUACCCGCUGAACUUAAGCAUAUCAAUAAGCGGAGGA